rnacentral:other from 1 species
AGCUCCCUGGGAUAUUGGCCAGUUGAAUAUGUUCUCGAGCCGAUAAACUUAACCCGGAGGCUCUGUCUCUUUGAUGUUGUUGAGCAGGUCCGCGCGACGGAAAGCCUUAUGCAUCUGACAGGCCACCACCUGAACUUAUGGGUUCAGGACUAUUUCGGCAGCGGUAUUUCGGAGAGCCA